rnacentral:snoRNA from 1 species
GGCUCGAUGAUUGCAAGCCUCAAUUUGGCAGUAUACGCUAUUCUGAAUAUUUCAAUUGGCUGAGAACUAAUUAUUAUGAGAGCU